AUCUAGCUGACGAUUCCCAAAUAGUAUGAAACGUACGUCCUGGAU
rfam:Schistosoma mattheei strain Denwood, Zambia genome assembly, scaffold: SMTD_scaffold0001586